AACAAGGUAAUGAUAAGGUCGAGUAAAUAACCCCCAGUCUUUAGAGAGGAAAUGCAUUGGCUGAAAGCAUUUCUAGAUAUGGAUUAUUGAAAACCCCCUUUGAACUAUAGACUGAAUUUUAAGUAAGUUUUAUCGGUAAUUCCGUUAUCAUUUUCAAGUGAAAUGUAUAUUUCAACUUGGGUGGAACCACGGGUAUAUAAACUCGUCCCAUAG
rnacentral:ncRNA from 1 species